GACGGGGGGGGGCAAGUGUUCUUCGGAAUGACUGGGCGUAAAGGGCACGUAGGCGGUGAAUCGGGUUGAAAGUGAAAGUCGCCAAAAAAGUGGCGGAAUGCUCUCGAAACCAAUUCGCUUGAGUGAGACAGAGGAGAGUGGAAUUUCGUGUGUAGGGGGUGAAAUCCGUAGAUCUACGAAGGAACGCCAAAAGCGAAGGCAGCUCUCUGGGUCCCUACCGACGCUGGGGUGCGAAAGCAUGGGGGAGCGAACAGG
rnacentral:rRNA from 1 species